rnacentral:rRNA from 1 species
AAGUCGUAACAAGGUUUCCGUAGGUGAACCUGCGGAAGGAUCAUUAUUGUAAACAAUGGGGGUGCAAGGGCUGUCGCUGACCUUCAAAGGUUGUGCACGCCUGAGCACCCUCACACAUCCAUCUCACCCCUUUGUGCAUCACCGCGUGGGUCUCCUUUUCGCAAAGGAGCUCACGUUUUCACACAAAAUUUGAUACAGUGUAGAAUGUUAUCUUUGCGGUCACACGCAAUCAAUACAACUUUCAACAACGGAUCUCUUGGCUCUCGCAUCGAUGAAGAACGCAGCGAAAUGCGAUACGUAAUGUGAAUUGCAGAAUUCAGUGAAUCAUCGAAUCUUUGAACGCACCUUGCGCCCCUUGGCAUUCCGAGGGGCACACCCGUUUGAGUGUCGUGAAACCCUCAAAAAUCCUUUUUGGAGUUACUGAAAAGGAUUUUUGGACUUGGAGGUUUAAUGCUUGCCUUUCACCUUUGAAAGCAAGCUCCUCUCAAAUGAAUUAGUGGGGUCUGCUUUGCUCGAUCCUUGACGUGAUAAGAUGUUUCUACGUUUUGGAUUUUGGCACUGUUCCUUGNAUGCCUGCUUCUAACUGUCUCAUGGACAAUGGAUGGUGCUCUGGUCCCUGCCUNCUAAUGUUGGUGGGAGGCUGGACCCAUGAAUGAAAAUCUUGACCUCAAAUCGGGUGAGACUACCCGCUGAACUUAAGCAUAUCAAUAAGCGGAGGAAANGAANCUAACAAGGAUUCCCCUAGUAACUGCGAGUGAAGCGGGAAAAGCUCAAAUUUAAANUCUGGUGNCCUUUGUCCAUCCGAGUNGUAAUUUAGAGAAGCNUCUUCCGCGCUGGACCGUGCACAAGUCUCCUGGAACGGAGCGUCAUAGAGGGUGAGAAUCCCGUCUUUGGCACGGACAUGCCAGGGCUUUUGUGAUGCGCUCUCGAAGAGUCGAGUUGUUUGGGAAUGCAGCUCAAAAUGGGUGGUGAACUCCAUCUAAAGCUAAAUAUUGGCGAGAGACCGAUAGCGAACAAGUACCGUGAGGGAAAGAUGAAAAGCACUUUGGAAAGAGAGUGAAACAGUACGUGAAAUUGUUGAAAGGGAAACGCUUGAAGUCAGUCGCGUCGACCGAGACUCAGCCUUGCCUUGGCUUGGUGUACUUCUCGGCUGACGGGUCAGCAUCAAUUUUGCCCCUUGGAUAAUGGCGAGGGAAAUGUGACACCUUUACGGUGUGUUAUAGUCUCUUGUCGCAUGCAAGGGUUGGGAUUGAGGAACUCAGCACGCGCCUUUGGGUGUCGGGGUUUUUGCCCACGAUACGUGCUUAGGAUGUUGGCGUAAUGGCUUUAAACGACC